rnacentral:rRNA from 1 species
UACGGAGGGUGCGAGCGUUGUCCGGAAUCACUGGGCGUAAAGGGCGCGUAGGUGGCGCGGGCAGUCAACGGUGAAAGUUCGGGGCUCAACCCUGAAUCGGCCGUCGAUACUCCCGUGCUUGAGCACUGUAGAGGCAGAUGGAAUUCCGGGUGUAGCGGUGGAAUGCGCAGAUAUCAGGAGGAACACCGGUGGCGAAGGCGGAUCUCUGGGCCAUUACUGACGCUGAGGAGCGAAAGCGUGGGGAGCGAACAGG